rnacentral:rRNA from 1 species
CUACGGGAUGCAGCAGUGAGGAAUAUUGCACAAUGGGGGGAACCCUGAUGCAGCAACGCCGCGUGGGGAUGACGCAUUUCGGUGUGUAAACUCCUUUUAUAUGUCAAGAAAAUGACGGUAGCAUAUGAAUAAGCACCGGCUAACUCCGUGCCAGCAGCCGCGGUAAUACGGAGGGUGCAAGCGUUACUCGGAAUCACUGGGCGUAAAGGACGCGUAGGCGGGUUGGAAAGUCAGGUGUGAAAUCCUACAGCUUAACUGUAGAACUGCACUUGAAACUUCUAAUCUAGAGUAUGGGAGGGGGAGAUGGAAUUAGUGGUGUAGGGGUAAAAUCCGUAGAUAUCACUAGGAAUACCUAAAGCGAAGGCGAUCUCCUGGAACAUUACUGACGCUAAGGCGUGAAAGCGUGGGGGGCAAACAGGAUUAGAUACCGUGGUAGUC